rnacentral:lncRNA from 1 species
CAGACCCAAACAUCUAUAUUAAAUUAGUUAUUAUGAAACAAGAAAUUAACACAUAUCCAAAACACAUAAGCAAGUUAAAACAAAUAAAUGCUAAAUGAUAAUAAGUAAAAGCAACCUCCCAAAUGAAUUUUGCUUGCUAUUUGGAUAGUCUAGGAUAUCGACUUCAUGUGCGGGUAUGAUGGUGUUGAGUCUAUGAGACUCGAUAAUUUGCUAGAGUCUUGAAUCAAAGACUCCAUUUUGCUCCAAAGUGUACAUGCAAAUAAAGAGAGGGUAAAAAAGAUUAAUAAGGCAAACCACUUUAAAACUAUAUCAAAUAAGCCAAACGUGAAGCUAAGUAAAAGACGUACAACCAAGACACUAUUCGGAAUGGAAAAUAUGCAAGCAUAGGAUAAGCCGACUUAUUAACAGAACUCAAAGUAACUAACCUACAGGAUAAAACUAAUUUUUCAGGUUUAAUCGAUUUAAACCACAAAGAAGCUUACCUUUUCAAACCAUGAAUUUUUAACAUUUCUUUAUAAGUAGCCUAUACUAAACAUUCAGAAGAAAGGGCAAAGAAAAACUGAUAUACUAACAGAGAGUAAAACAAAAGGAAGCUUAAGCUUAAGUUUAUAGGUAUAUAUUUGUAUGUAUAAAACUAAAGCGUAAUAAUGACAAUGCACAUGAUUUGUGCCAUAUUCCUUCAAAUAUUAUAUAUGAUAACUGCUAACUUACAAUUUUUUUUUUAAAAACAACACAGGAACUUAUACACAUAAUUUAAUUAGCAAAAAAGAGGGUGUAGAACUUAAACAAAAUGCCUACAACCAAGGCUCUCUUUUACAUUUUUUAAAGGGAAGCAUGUGCAAAGCUAUUUCUAACGGAAGCAAGGACAAUAGCCAUUUCUAUUAAACAUUUUAUACAUAGGAAACCAUGACCAUUGAAACUUUAGCAUAUAAACACACAAAAUAAAACAUUUAACUGGGAACAAAACAACAACACAACUCAUGUAAAUCCAAUUCUAGAACUAAGUCAUUAACAAAUAUCCAAGUUUAAAACUAAGCCAUUCUUUAAAUUCAAGGUCUAAAAAAGUGAGGGAAAACAAUUUCAAGUCUGUAUAGAUCUCAAAAAGGAUACAAACACA